rnacentral:rRNA from 1 species
AGAGUUUGAUCCUGGCUCAGGAUGAACGCUGGCGGCGUGCCUAAUACAUGCAAGUCGAACGCGAGCACUUGUGCUCGAGUGGCGAACGGGUGAGUAAUACAUAAGUAACCUGCCCUAGACAGGGGGAUAACUAUUGGAAACGAUAGCUAAGACCGCAUAGGUACGGACACUGCAUGGUGACCGUAUUAAAAGUGCCUCAAAGCACUGGUAGAGGAUGGACUUAUGGCGCAUUAGCUGGUUGGCGGGGUAACGGCCCACCAAGGCGACGAUGCGUAGCCGACCUGAGAGGGUGACCGGCCACACUGGGACUGAGACACGGCCCAGACUCCUACGGGAGGCAGCAGUAGGGAAUUUUCGGCAAUGGGGGAAACCCUGACCGAGCAACGCCGCGUGAAGGAAGAAGGUUUUCGGAUUGUAAACUUCUGUUAUAAAGGAAGAACGGCGGCUACAGGAAAUGGUAGCCGAGUGACGGUACUUUAUUAGAAAGCCACGGCUAACUACGUGCCAGCAGCCGCGGUAAUACGUAGGUGGCAAGCGUUAUCCGGAAUUAUUGGGCGUAAAGAGGGAGCAGGCGGCAGCAAGGGUCUGUGGUGAAAGCCUGAAGCUUAACUUCAGUAAGCCAUAGAAACCAGGCAGCUAGAGUGCAGGAGAGGAUCGUGGAAUUCCAUGUGUAGCGGUGAAAUGCGUAGAUAUAUGGAGGAACACCAGUGGCGAAGGCGACGAUCUGGCCUGCAACUGACGCUCAGUCCCGAAAGCGUGGGGAGCAAAUAGGAUUAGAUACCCUAGUAGUCCACGCCGUAAACGAUGAGUACUAAGUGUUGGAUGUCAAAGUUCAGUGCUGCAGUUAACGCAAUAAGUACUCCGCCUGAGUAGUACGUUCGCAAGAAUGAAACUCAAAGGAAUUGACGGGGGCCCGCACAAGCGGUGGAGCAUGUGGUUUAAUUCGAAGCAACGCGAAGAACCUUACCAAGUCUUGACAUCCCUCUGACCGGAACUUAACCGUUCCUUUCCUUCGGGACAGAGGAGACAGGUGGUGCAUGGUUGUCGUCAGCUCGUGUCGUGAGAUGUUGGGUUAAGUCCCGCAACGAGCGCAACCCUUAUCGUUAGUUACCAUCAUUAAGUUGGGGACUCUAGCGAGACUGCCAGUGACAAGCUGGAGGAAGGCGGGGAUGACGUCAAAUCAUCAUGCCCCUUAUGACCUGGGCUACACACGUGCUACAAUGGAUGGUGCAGAGGGAAGCGAAGCCGCGAGGUGAAGCAAAACCCAUAAAACCAUUCUCAGUUCGGAUUGUAGUCUGCAACUCGACUACAUGAAGUUGGAAUCGCUAGUAAUCGCGAAUCAGCAUGUCGCGGUGAAUACGUUCUCGGGCCUUGUACACACCGCCCGUCACACCACGAGAGUUGAUAACACCCGAAGCCGGUGGCCUAACCGCAAGGAAGGAGCUGUCUAAGGUGGGAUUGAUGAUUGGGGUGAAGUCGUAACAAGGUAUCCCUACGGGAACGUGGGGAUG